rnacentral:rRNA from 1 species
ACAUCCAGAGAACUUAGCAGAGAUGCUUUGGUGCCUUCGGGAACUCUGAGACAGGUGCUGCAUGGCUGUCGUCAGCUCGUGUUGUGAAAUGUUCGGGUUAAGUCCCGNAACGAGCGCAACCCUUAUCCUUUGUGCCAGCGGUUCGGCCGGGAACUCAAAGGAGACUGCCGGUGAUAAACCGGAGGAAGGUGGGAUGACGUCAAGUCAUCAUGGCCCUUACGGCCAGGGCUACACACGUGCUACAAUGGCGCAUACAAAGAGAAGCGACCUCGCGAGAGCAAGCGGACCUCAUAAAGUGCGUCGUAGUCCGGAUUGGAGUCUGCAACUCGACUCCAUGAAGUCGGAAUCGCUAGUAAUCGUAGAUCAGAAUGCUACGGUGAAUACGUUCCCGGGCCUUGUACACACCGCCCGUCACACCAUGGGAGUGGGUUGCAAAAGAAGUAGGUAGCUUAACCUUCGGGAGGGCGCUUACCACUUUGUGAUUCAUGACUGGGGUGAAGUCGUAACAAGGUAGGCGUAGCGAG